GUGUUACCCUUUAAAUCACCACCUCAUUUACUGCUGGUCAAACCUCUGGGUGAAGCACAGCUGUAUCAGACGCAGUGAUGGUGAAGACGGCGGCUGCUGUACUGUCGGCACUGCUGCUGUGUGUGGGGGGCGCACUAGCGCAGGACUUCAUGUCGCCGAACAUGAACAUUAUGGAAGAACUGGGGAAACUGAAGAACAUGGAAGAACGACUGAGAACUGUGGAAGAACAACUGAGAACAAUGGAGGGGAAAAUGCAGAACCAGAACACAUUAGUAGAGGAGCUGAAGAAGGAGAAUGGAGCUCUGAAGACGACGGUGGAAACGAUGCAGGCUACACUGGAAUCACUGCAGAGCAGUAAACCAGGAUCUUCUGACGUUCCCAGCACGGCAGCAAUUUUCCGCGUCAGGCAUUGUGGAGAUUUACCCAUUAUUGAACACGGAGAUGUUACGAAGGCUCCAGAUGGGCUGGCAUUAACAGUGAGGUGCGCUUAUCUUUACAAACUUGACGGACCAGCAGAAGUAAAGUGUGUUGACAGGAAAUGGACACAGCUGCCUGCUUGUAAAGCUCCAUGUAAACUGGAUCAGUCAAAGUUUUAUUUUUCUCAAAGAGAGUACAUGCUGCACGGAGAAGAGGAAGGGCUUUUUUGUACUGCCUUUUCCAGAGUACAGGUCAAAUGUGAGAACGGAAAAGCGCUCUAUAGAGGAUGUGGUGAUAAAGACUGGUGAGAUGUGUGUGAACGUCUUCCUGCUGCAGCUUUUACUGAAACACACAAAACUGCAGAGCGACUGGAACGACCUGUAACUGCUUUACCUUUAAGCGUUACUGUAACAUUUCUCAGAACAUCUGAUUAAAAACAGAUCCUGAAUAAACAACUGUGGUCUCGUCAAAGCAUGUUUACCUCAUAAGCAUCAUACUUAUCUUAAAAACUAAUAUAAAUGGCUCAAUCACUGCGGAGGUUUUAAAUAUAUAACUUGAAAUUAUUUUCACCAGAUCACAUGAACCAUGUAUAAAUUCAGUGAUAAAUCAUUCUCAGUUUAGGCUCCUCACUGGGAAACACAGAAAGUUAAUGUAGAGGACAAUAUUGGCUUAGUAUUUGCCCUUAUUUAACAUUAUACCAUAAAUCAACAUAAUAAUAACAUGUUUAUUAAAACCAAACCCAAGGACAACAAAUAGUUACAAUAGUAACAAAAUACACAACUGACAAUAAAAAACACCUCACAACAUGCGCAUACAAAGUUUCCCGGCUGGCAGGGGGAAACUCUCUACACAGAACAGCAAAUGCUACUAGCAGUAAAGCUAUGGGUGGAAUAUUUUUCAUAGCAAAAAAAAUAUUUUCCUUCUAUAUUUUUGCGUAUUUCUCACACUUGAUUGUCCAGAUAAUCAAACUCCUUUUAAUAUUAG
ensembl:lncRNA